rnacentral:rRNA from 1 species
AUCGAUGAAGAACGCAGCGAAAUGCGAUAAGUAAUGUGAAUUGCAGAAUUCAGUGAAUCAUCGAAUCUUUGAACGCACAUUGCGCCCGGUGGUAAUCUGCCGGGCAUGCCUGUUCGAGCGUCAUUUCUACCCUCAGGCCCUGCCGCUUAGGUGGUUCGGGUGCUGGUGUUGGGGCCUGCAGGCCACUGCAGCCUCUAAUUUCAUCGGCGUACUGGUGUGCGUUGCCCUUUGCGUAGUGGAUUUUUUUAUUUUCUCGCAUCGGGUCGUACCUUGUCCGGCCGUUAAAUUUAUAACUUUUUUUAGUUUGACCUCGAAUCAGGUAGGGUUACCCGCUGAACUUAAGCAUAUCAAUAAGCGGAGGAAAAGAAACCAACAGGGAUUGCCCUAGUAACGGCGAGUGAAGCGGCAACAGCUCAAAUUUGAAAUCUGGCGCUUGCGCCCGAGUUGUAAUUUGCAGAGGAUGCUUCUGGCAAAGUGCCUUCCGAGUUCCCUGGAACGGGACGCCAUAGAGGGUGAGAGCCCCGUACGGUCGGUUGCUGCGCCGCUGUGAAGCGCCUUCGACGAGUCGAGUAGUUUGGGAAUGCUGCUCUAAAUGGGAGGUAAACUCCUUCUAAAGCUAAAUAUUGGCCAGAGACCGAUAGCGCACAAGUAGAGUGAUCGAAAGAUGAAAAGCACUUUGAAAAGAGAGUCAAAUAGCACGUGAAAUUGUUGAAAGGGAAGCGCUUGUGACCAGACUUGGGCUUGGUAGUUCAGCCGUCCUUCUGGGCGGUGCAUUCUGCCGGUUCAGGCCAGCAUCAGUUGCCGGUCGGGGAGAAAGAUAGUGGGAACGUGGCUCUUCGGAGUGUUAUAGCCCGCUAUUAUGCCCUUCUGGCGACUGAGGUUAGCGUUCUGCACGGAUGCUGGCGUAAUGGUUAUCAGCGACCCGUCUUGAAACACGG